GAUGAACGCUGGCGGCGUGCCUAAUACAUGCAAGUCGAGCGAACGGACGAGAAGCUUGCUUCUCUGAUGUUAGCGGCGGACGGGUGAGUAACACGUGGAUAACCUCCCUAUAAGACUGGGAUAACUUCGGGAAACCGGAGCUAAUACCGGAUAAUCUUUUGAACCGCAUGGUUCAAAAGUAAAAGACGGUCUUGCUGUCACUUAUCGAUGGAUCCGCGCUGCAUUAGCUAGUUGGUAAGGUAACGGCUUACCAAUGCAACGAGGCAUAACCGACCUGAGAGAGUGAUCGGCCACACUGGAGCUUAGACACGGUCCAGGCUCCUACGGGAGGCAGCAGUAGGGAAUCUGCCGCAGUGGGCGAAAGCCUGACGGAGCAGCGCCGCGUGAGUGAUGAAGAUCUUCGGAUCGUAAAGCUCUGUUAUUAGGGAAGAACAUAUGUGUAAGUAACUGUGCACAGCUUGACGGUACCUAAUCAGAAAGCCACGGCUAACUACGUG
rnacentral:rRNA from 1 species